AAUUGCAGUACUGAGCAGUGUACUGUUGACCAUGACACCACACAUAGUGAUACUGGUGCUCACCGACAGGGCCUAGCAAGUUAUUAGGCUCCCUGUGCGAUGGUUCCAUACACAUUCUAUGGCUUGGUUGGUAGAGCAUGAUUCGCUGUCUCUCUGGCCUAGUUUGUGAGUGCUGUUGUGGGGUUGUUCUUUAGCUGGUUCCGUCUGUUGAUCCAGAGCAGGGCUGUUGUGGUGUUUUGGGAGGCUGUGUAACAGGCUUGUUUGGGAGGAAUGCAGGGGCAGCAGGCAGCGGUGGGGGCAUCUGGGACUGAUUUGCUGAGCAUGCUGCGGACGGACCUACGACCCACCCAAUAAGUCAUCCUUAAGCAUCGUGUGUGUGUGUGUAUACAGUGCUGUCAAAAACAGGUUUUAUUGAAUGCGGUUCAUUUAGACAGGGAUGUAUGUCCAACCUGCAUGAUUGUCCAUAAUGAACUGACUGCAUUGAAAGUCGGAUUAGAGCAUGUUAUUUACAUCUAGGACAAGUGCAACUGAUAAUUAAAGUGAUCAAUGAAUGCUGACACCACCUCUGGGAUAUUGAGGUAUGGAACAACAAAACAUUGAUCAAGAACAAUAUUAGCAAUAUCAGUCCACUCUGAAUCCACUCUGGGCCCUACAAUAACAUCAUGAAGCCUGUAGGUUAGCGCUAAUCUAUCAAUCAUUUCUCGCCAACUGACGAGAUCUGACGUGAGGUUUGUUAGUGUUACAUGAUCAAUGUCGUCUGGUGGUGACUGAAAUGCAUAGAUUUUGAAAACAGGUUACGCUUUUGCCGAAGUGCCAGAUUCCUACUGAGAAUGUGUUGGAUUAAUCACUUCUUUAUGAACCAGUAUAUUACUUGCUAGUUAUCCAACAACUUUGAUUUGCCGGGUGCAAGUUGGGAAGGAAGAAAAAGUUGUUUUUUAAAAGAUCCCUAGCCAUUCCAGAUUUUUGGCUAUGACUAGUAUUGUCGAGAUCAAGAAUUUAGGUCUUAUAUCAAGAACAAAGGCAAUAACUUAGAACCCUAAAAUCACUUCUGGGAUCUUUUUCUCGGGCCUCCAUUCCAAAUGGUUUCAAAAUAUGAAGGCUGGCAGAAAGCAUUCAGGGUAGUUAGUCUGUAACAGUUUCUUCUCUCUCCCUAGAAAGAUCCUAGUCAUUUCAUUAUUCCGUAACUAUGGCUGUGGUGAUAAGGUCAGCUUUGGUUUGCAGUAGCCGGCAAUUCUAGAAUAGUUAUUGGGGGGAAAAGCAGGAGCCGCAUAAUCCAGAGUGGUUUCGGGUGAGGGACAGUGGUCACGGUAGAGGGAUCUAGGCUAACGCAGACGCCAGCACAUUGUGACAGCCUCUUGUAAGGCAAAGUGGGCCAAACACACGUGACCCAUUCUGUGUGGGUGUCACUAUUCAUCGCCAUGAUCAUAAUCGGACUAAUUUCAUCAGCACUCAUCUGACUUGUAGGCUAACUGCUAAUGCUAUGUGUUUAGGAUCAACCACUAAUGAGAGAAGUCCUGUUUCUGUGGUCUGCGUUUGACCUCAGCCUGAGGGAUUCUCCCAUGGCGCUGUCACGCGUGUCACACAUUGCGUGUUGUAAGGCCUGUAACUUUUCUUUCUCUCACGCAUUCACAUACACGCAUACACACUCAUGUUGCACACACACAAACACACAAAUUCAUUAUCUUCGGGAUUUGAUCAUUAGGGGUAUUUUUUUAUACAUAAGAUUCACAAGCUCUGUCUUUUAUCAAGCAGAUUGGAUCUGAUUAGCCAGAUGCUCAUAAAUCAUGAUUUGGAUAGGCUGCUAAUUUGGAUUUGGCCAUCUUUAACGCAACACAGUCCAAGAACAUUGUGUCGUUUAGCGAUUGUGUUAAAAGAAAUCUCAUAAAAACGUUCUCCCUUUUAAGAGAAUCUGAUUUUAAACUAUUCCCCUAUGGAAGGCGGACUGUUUAACUCUCCCAUACUUUAAAACCAACUUUGAGAAACUGGAUCUAUAGCUGUUUACCACUCCAAAUAAACAGAAUGUUUGUGGCACGGUUAACAUGGGAAACAACACCACGGGGUUUCACUUAUAGCUUGAACACAUGUUUUAUAACUGCAUCUUUCCAGGGGGCCUCAGAUUAUAGCUAGCUGUCCUCCAACAAUGAAGAACGUGGUCUUCUGGGAGAAAAUGGUGGUCUUGAAUGACAUCAUGGAUUUCCUACAAUUCCCAGAGGUGGCUCUAUACUGGGGAUUUUCCUGUGUUUAUCAAGAAUGGUCCACCACCCAAAGGAUAUCCAGCCAACUUGACACAACUGUGGAAAGCAUUAGAGUCAACAUGGGCCAGCAUCCCUGCGGAACACUUGAAACACCUUGUGGAGUCCAUGCCCUGACACAUUGAGGCUGUUCUGAGCACACAAGGGAAUUCUGCCUGCUCUAUACGGACACAUACAGUGAGUCUCCCGCUUGCUGAUUGGCUGAGACAGCCAGUGAUGCUGAUAGGACCAUUGGACUGAAAGGAGGGAGGAGAGAGCGAGGAAGGCGAGAGUGGGAGAGUGAGUGUGUACAUCACAGAUGACGGGCAUUGCCAGUGAUUGUCUGCCAGCGAUGCUGAGUGUAUGCUCACCUCAGUUACUGCCACGGACAAUGACCCAAAACACACCUCCAGGCUGUGUAUUUGACCAAGGAGGAGAGUGGUGGAGUGCUGCAUCAGAUGACCUGGCCUCCACAAUCACCCACCCUCAACCCAAUUGAGAUGGUUUGGGAUGAGUUGGACCGCAGAGUAAAGGACAAGCAGCCAACACGUGCCCAGCAUAUGUGGAAACUCCUUCAAGACUGUUGGAAAAGCAUUCCUCAUGAAGCUGGUUGAGAGAAUGCCAAGAGUGUGCAAAUCUGUCAUCAAGGCAAAGGGUGGCUACUUUGAAGAAUCUCAAUAUAAAAUACAUUUUGAUUUGUUUAACACUUGUUUUGGUUACUAUGUGAUAUUUCAUAGUUUUGAUGUCUUCACUAUUAUUAUACAAUGAAUACUUUUUAUUUAACCUUUAUUUAACCAGGAAGGGCUCAUUGAGAUUUAAAAUCUCUUUUUCAAGAGUGUCCUGGCCAAGAUAGGCAGCACGAAGUCAUUACAAAAAUGACAGACAAACAACAUGAAAAACUACAAGUAAUCUAGUAAUGUCACGUUCUGACCUUAGUUCCUUUGUUUUGUCUUAUGUUUUAGUAUGGUCAGGGCGUGAGUUGGGUGGGUUGUCUAUGUUAGUUUGUCUAUGAUUUUCUAUUUCUGUGUUUGGCCUGGUAUGGUUCUCAAUCAGAGGCAGCUGUCAAUCGUUGUCCCUGAUUGAGAAUCAUACUUAGGUAGCCUGUUUCGUGGGUGUUUAUUUUCUGUCUUUGUGUAUGUCACCAGACAGGACUGUUUAGUUUCGUAUCAUUCUCGUUGUUAUUUUUGUUUUAGUGUUCUGAGUUGAAUAAAUAUCGUCAUGAACA